AGCUACAUCCGUCACCUGACACGGCCCUACCAGGAACAGCCGCGCUCCCGCGGAUUCUGGUGCUGCUCGCGUCCCCGCUCCCCUAUUCCCCUUAUUUUAUUCCUGGCUCCCCUCGUCGAAAGUCUUCCAUUCUUCAAACUAGAUUAUUUAAAAAUGAAAAAGGAAGAAAGGAAAGCGAGGUCAUCUCAUUGCUCUAUCCGCCAAUCAGGAGGCUGAAUGUCAGUUUUGAACUAAAAGCCGCUCCGCUCCUCUUCUAGAUUUGGAAAACAAGCGAAAUUAAACUAAACCGCUGCACGCCUCUGACGCGACAUCUGGACACGGCGCGGCGCUGGCGCUGCCGGAGCUGUCGACCCGGCCUGGCGCCGGACUAGUGUCCCUUUUGAUGAGAAGAAUAAGCCUCAUUCUGAUUCAACAGCAGAGAUCAAAGAAAAGACUUCUGUUUUCUGGCCACCAGAUAUAUGUUAUCUGUGCUUAAAGAAUUGAAAAACACACAUCAAAGGAGAAUUUUCUUGGAAAGAGAGGGUUCAAGCAUCACUGUUAGGUGUGCUGGAAUCCUUUCCCGAGUCAGUACUGCUUUCUAGAAGAAAACCGGGGAGAUCUAUUUGGAAUGUAUCUAACUCCAAAGAAACCAUCAGAGGUAACAGAUUGGCUUCUCUCACAUGGCAAGAAACAUUGCUGCUAGCACUUCCCGAGUUCUACGUUCUACAACAUCCACCACUGCUAUGUCUCACAGUCCAGACUUGGAGUACAAGUAAUAAGAAGAAUAAAACUUAAUCCCUUAAGUAGAUUCACCAUAAGUUAGCUCAGAGCAAUUCCAGUGCAAGUAUGGUCUGUGAUCCAGUAGUAUCUUACAGACAGCAAGUUGAACAUUGUGGGAUGCAUGAGCUAUUGAGGCCUUUGCAGCUUUCUGCUACAUGGAGGCUAGGGCCAGAGUCAAGAUUUAUGCUUUGCAGCACACUGGUCAGCUGUUUUUGCAAAUCAGAUUAAAUGAUUUUUAAAUGAGGCUGAGAGCAUGGGAGAUACUAAUGUGUGUUUCCUUGUGAGCUACUGCAUAAGUUAGGAAAUUGAAAUACAGAAAGAUGAAAAGUGAUUUGCCCAAGCAUAUAGAUCAAAGCUGUGGCAGAACCAGGACUGGAACCUAUAUCUCUCUACUAAUGGUUUUUUUAAAAAAAUAACCUUGUUUCAAAAAUAUUAAAAAGUCACAAGAAAGGUAAACAUGUGGAUAAACAAAAUGAAGAAAAUAAAAAUUAUCCAGUAAUAACAUAUUGGCAUAUGUCUUUCUGGUAUAUUUUCCUGUGUUGUCAUCAUUAUCAUCUCCAUCAUCAUUAUAUCCAUCAUUAUCAUCAUCAUCAUCAUCAUCAUCAUCAUUAUCAUCACCAUAGUGAACAUGUAAUGCUUACCUAGUGCCAGAUGCUGUCUAGGCAUUUUACAUGUGUUACUGGUAACUCAUGUAAUCCUCAUAACAACCUUAUAAGGUGGUUGCUAUUAUCCCCAUGUUACAUAUGAAGAGACAGAAGCAUAAAGAAGUUGCACCGCUGGUAAUUGGCUGGGAUUUGAACUUAAGCAGUCUAACCUUAGAGUAAUGAUUUUAACAACUAUGCUAUAUACAUACAAAUUUACAAAAUAAAACUGGGCUCAGACAAUAAAAA
rnacentral:lncRNA from 1 species